CAAAUUUUUACAUAUUUGGAAACUUUCCUUUUUUCUUUAAUUUUUUUUAAUAAAACCAUAUUAAUGUAAAACUAUAUAAAGAAUAUCCAUAUUAAUGAAAAAAACUUAAGUUCUUAUAGUUUUUUUUUUUGACGAAAUUCUAAAUUUUCUAACGAUAAAAUUGGUAUAUUAUACAUAGUAUACACUGGCAAAUUCUUUUACACAGCAUAAUAAUGUAUAUAUAUAUAUUAAAAAUUCAUUAAAAAAGUAAAAUUUUGUGGAAAAAAAAUCAACAAAUUAAACUUGAUUGCUAAAUUGUAGAAAGGAAAAAAAAUACUGUGAAGAUAUUUGUAUUAGAACCUCUUAAAUAAAACUAAUAAGUGAACUAAUAUAUAAAGUCCUCUGUUGAAAAAUAAGAUUUGCCAAACUCCGGGCAACAAAAGACCGCGCGUGGCUUAUCUCUUAGCCUCGUCUAAGCUAGUAAGCUUCUCUUUCGUCUUCUUCACCAGAUGAUUUAAUCAGCUUUGCAUUACUCUCUCAGGAAUGUCAAUUUAAUGCAUCAUGUCGGCUUCUUUAUCAAAGUGUUUUUGUGAUGCACUUUUUCAAAACAAACUUAUUUAAUGGAUGCUUGAUAUACUAAAAAUGAUCAUCUUCAUUGACUCAUAUUGUUAUCUUUGGUGGUCUGCUAUCGUGUCUAGCAGCAUCACUCUCUAUCAAGGUUGUGGAUCGAAUUGGCAAGGAGCAUUGCAAAGUUAAUUAACUUGAUUAUUAAUUGCAAAAGAUUCAACAAGUGAAGUGCAAAAGAAAAUCUGAUUUGGAAGGCUUUGUUGUCCUGACAGUUGGAAGAUCAUGAAAUCCUACCUUUACUUUUGAAUAUGCUAACUGUUUAAGACUAUUUUGUUGACUAUUGUUGUUUUGUUUAUGUUAAUUAGAGAGUGCUUAAUGUUUUGUUUAUGUUAGUUAGGCAAUGUUGAAUGCUUUGUUUAUAUUAAUUAGGCAGUGUUGAACAUCUUAAGACUUUUGGAUUGUUUUUUAGAUAAUCUUGAAUGUUUUUUGACACUAUUA